rnacentral:misc_RNA from 1 species
AGCUGUUCCCCUCUGGAGGUUCACACCUUCACAUCUCAUGGGCCGCAACUACCAGCGGCCCAUUCUUUUGCGACAG